UCUACGGGGGGCUGCAGUGGGGGAUAUUGGACAAUGGGGGGAACCCUGAUCCAGCGACGCCGCGUGAGUGAAGAAGUAUUUCGGUAUGUAAAGCCCUGUCAGCAGGGAAGAAAGCAAUGACGGUACCUGACCAAGAAGCCCCGGCUAACUACGUGCCAGCAGCCGCGGUAAUACGUGGGGGGCAAGAGUUAUCCGGAAUUACUGGGUGUAAAGGGAGCGUAGGCGGCUGUGCAAGUCUGGAGUGAAAGGCGGGGGCCCAACCCCCGGACUGCACUGGAGACUGUUUGGCUGGAGUGCAGGAGAGGUAAGCGGAAUUCCUGGUGUAGCGGUGAAAUGCGUAGAGAUUAGGAGGAACACCAGGGGCGAAGGCGGCUUACUGGACUGUAACUGACGUUGAGGCUCGAAGGCGUGGGGAGCAAACAGGAUUAGAUACCCUGGUAGUC
rnacentral:rRNA from 1 species